rnacentral:rRNA from 1 species
ACGAACGCUGGCGGCGUGCCUAAUGCAUGCAAGUCGCGCGGGCGCCCUUCGGGGCGUCAGCGGCGCACGGCUGAGGAACACGUAUGUACCCGCCUCCUUGUGGGGGACAACAGCGCGAAAGCGGUGCUAAUCCCGCAUACGCUCGCGAGAGGAAAGCCGAAAGGCGCAGGGAGAGGGGCGUGCGGCCCAUCAGGUUGUUGGCGGGGGUAACGGCCCACCAAGCCGCUGACGGGUAGCUGGUCUGAGAGGAUGACCAGCCAGACUGGGACUGAGACACGGCCCAGACUCCUACGGGAGGCAGCAGCAAGGAAUUUUCGGCAAUGGGCGCAAGCCUGACCGAGCAACGCCGCGUGCGGGAUGACGGCCUUCGGGUUGUAAACCGCUUUUCGGAGGGAUGACGUCGACAGUACCUCCGGAAUAAGCCCCGGCUAACUCUGUGCCAGCAGCCGCGGUAAGACAGAGGGGGCCAGCGUUGUCCGGAAUCACUGGGCGUAAAGCGCACGCAGGCGGCCGCGCGCGUGGGGUGUGACAGCCGACCGCUCAACGGGCGGAGGCCAUCUCAUACGGCGCGGCUCGAGCCGUCCAGAGGUCAGUGGAAUUGCCGGUGUAGGAGUGACAUCCGUAGAGACCGGCAGGAACACCCAUGGGGAAGCCAGCUGACUGGGGACGGGCUGACGCUCAGGUGCGACUGCGUGGGGAGCGAACCGGAUUAGAUACCCGGGUAGUCCACGCCGUAAACGAUGGAUGCUCGUGCUGCGGGCGGGUUAUACCGCCUGUGGCGCUCAGCCAACGCGUAAGCAUCCCGCCUGGGAAGUACGAGCGCAAGCUUAAAACUCAAAGGAAUUGACGGGGACCCGCACAAGCAGCGGAGCGUGUGGUUUAAUUCGACGCAGCGCGAAGCACCUCACCCAGAUUGGACAUGGCACUGCAAGCCCACGGAAACGUGGGACCUUCGAGGGUGUGCCACAGAUGCUGCAUGGCUGUCGUCAGUUCGUGUCGUGAGAUGUUGGGUUAAGUCCCGCAACGAGCGCAACCCCCGCGGCCAGUUACUGGUGUCUGGCCGGACUGCCCUUCGGGGAGGAAGGCGGGGAUGACGUCAAGUCCGCAUGGCUCUUACGUCUGGGGCGACACACACGCUACAAUGACGCCGGCAAUGCGCUGCGACCGGGCAACCGGGAGCUAAUCGCCAAGCGGCGUCCCAGUGCAGAUCGGGGGCUGCAACUCGCCCCCGUGAAGGCGGAGUUGCUAGUAACCGCGUAUCAGCCACGGCGCGGUGAAUACGUGCCCGGGUCUUGUACACACCGCCCGUCACGUCAUGGGAGUGGUCAACGCCUGAAGUCCGUGCGCUAACCGGGUUCGCCCGGGGGCAGCGGCCGAGGGCGGGGGCCGCGACUGGGACG